CGGCAAAGCCCGCCCCGCUGCGCGCCGGGUGCCUCGGGAGCGGGGACACCGCCCACUACGCCCGCGCUGCUCAGCGCUACCGCUUCCCCGCAACUGUGCGGAGUGGGAGCCGGUGCCCGGUCCGACCGGCUUGGGCGGCGCGCCUUCACCCGGCGCCAGGUCCGGACCCCUCCCUAGUAGCUUCGCGGCCUCCCUGCCUCCUGUGCGCGGCCUGGCUCGGAGAGGUCGGGCGGGCAGGCUUUCCCGACUGCAGGCGAGGCAGUGCGCGGCUCACCCCAGUCCCCGACCCACGUGAAGCGUACAGGGCAUUUUAUUAACCGGGAAGGACGGUGCGGAAGAGCGAGCAGGACGCCUCUUCACCCCGCGUAGGCAGUGUCGUCGUUGCUGUCACUAAAGGCGGAGGAAGAGAGCUCUUCGCGGGGCGUGCAGACCGGGCACCGCUGCCGCAUGUCGUCCCAGCACGACCAGCAGUACACGGCCUCGCAGUCCAGCGUCCGGCACACGUAGGACUCGGGCGUCUCGGGUGCCUGGCACACCACGCAGCGCCGGCACAGCCAGCGGCGCAGGAGCGGGCAGCCGCGGUGCAGGAUAUCCGCCAGCGGGUGGCGCUGUUGGGAGGUGAGAAAACUGAUGCUUGGAGAUGUGAUCACUGCCCAGGGUCACCCAAUGAUAACAUGCAUGCAUAUGGAACUUGCUGCAUGCCAGCACCAUGUUCUCCUCAUCUAUCCCCAAACAUGGGCUUCCUUGAGGCACAGUCAUUCAACCAACCAGCCAGCAUUCAUUGAGCACCAUCUAUGUCCUGGGCACUGCUAGGGGAUGGUGAUAACAGGGAGAAGACUCUGUCCCUGCCUUCCAAUUGUGUAGAGGAAGACAUCCCCCUACAUGAUGGGUGAGACAUAGCAGAAGUGAGUAGGGGAUGAGGUGGGGGCUCAGAGGAGGGCAUGGUCAGCCUGUCUGGGAGGGAGUUGCAUGUGUGCAUCUGAGGUAGGGACAGGCAUGCAUCUUACAGGAUGAAUAUCGAGCAGAGUUACAGAGAGGGGGAAACUCCUUGAGGUUUCAGGAAUCACCUAAUCCACUGUGACUCACAAAUUCCUGCCUCUUGGCUUUGCCUGCAGCAUAUCUCCUGGAAGUGUGCUGGGGCAAAACUCAUCCCAGACCACCAUCUCCAUCCUCCCCCAAUACACCCUGGCUCUCCCUGGCUACCCUUGAGCACGGUGCACGUGUGCAUGGGUGCAUGCCUGCAUAUAUAGCUAUCCCCCAUGUAUUUCCCAAAGCCCUACAUAAUGCUUCAGUUUGCUAAGGAAAAAAUGUUAAUUACUGCAAAUGUGUUUAAAACUGUAAAAGUACAUUAAACAAACUCUGUAAAGUGUGAAACAUUAGUUUCAAUGCUAUUGCUUCUGGGGCCCUGUAAAAAUCCACAUCUUUGCCUUUAAAACUACUGUAAGUGCAAAGACAUACUGUGAGUGCCCUCUUGUGGAGAGGCUCACAGAGGUGGUGCCUGGGCUUCCUGAGCCAGGGCCUGCCCUCCCGCCAGCUGUCCUUUCAGUGCAUGACCUCACCCAGCUUGAAAGCCUGGAAGUAGCUUUUGACUCUGUGCCUCCUUCCUUCCCUCCACAAGCUGGCUCUGAGCCUCGCUGCACCUUUCCCCUUCCCCCACCAUCUCAAGCCAUCUUCCUGCCAUGCUCUACCCGGGCCAGGCUCCCUA
rnacentral:lncRNA from 1 species